GCCAGAUUACUUCCUGGUUUGAAUGUAGGGUUUGCCCCAGGUUCCCGGAGCUCCACACUUGUCUCGGGAACGACUACAGCUGGUCUGGGCGCAGGACUGGGCGCUGAAGGGGACUAGUCGUAGAGCUCCCACCCAAUCUGUGCAAUCUCCAGGAACGGGGAAGUGAUGUCGGCUUUCGGUGAUGUCUGAGUUCCAUCCACUGCUGUUUUCGCCCCCUUUUUGUGUGUGACUUUUCUUCUCUGGUACCUGGUGGUGGCCCCUUUCCCCUUCACUCCUUUAGGCCUCCCUGAUACAGUCCCCUUGUGCUGGUAAAACGCCUCAGUGUUGAUUUUUUAGCAUAGAAAUUAUUUUUUUGUAAUAAAAGCCUUAUUUUUAAACCGAUACUGUUAAACGAUAUGAAGCUUAAGUAUAAAUAAAACUGGACACUGUUCAAAGAAACUAGAAAAUCUCCGCUCCCUUUUCUUAAAACAAGUAAGAGCCUAAUAUUCAUAUGUGGUGUUUUCUGGGUGAAAGUCCCAGAGUGGCGUUGUCGCAUUGCGGCCAGGCAUAUCAGUUGC
ensembl:lncRNA